UCCGGUUUGUCACCGGCAGUCUCGCAUGAGUCCCCAGCUUUACCUGAUGGCAACAUACGACGAGGGUUGCGCUCGUUGCGGGACUUAACCCAACACCUCACGGCACGAGCUGACGACAGCCAUGCAGCACCUGUGCUGGCCCCUUACGGAGCCCUGCUUUCACAGGGUUUAACCAGCAUGUCAAGCCCAGGUAAGGUUCUUCGCGUUGCAUCGAAUUAAGCCACAUGCUCCGCCGCUUGUGCGGGUCCCCGUCAAUUCCUUUGAGUUUUAGCCUUGCGACCGUACUUCCCAGGCGGUCGACUUAGCACUUUUGCUUCGACCGUGAUACCGUCAGAGGCACCACGAUCUAGUCGACAUCGUUUACGGCCAGGACUAC
rnacentral:misc_RNA from 1 species